AGCAACAAGAAAAAAUAUUUAAAGAAAAGGAAUCAAAAUGCAUUUUCUGGAGAGGUCUAUAAAUUGUGGCAUUUGGAAAGGAAGGAGAUAUCCUUAUACAAAUAUUCAUAAAGAGCGAAUUGAAGUAUUCUUCUUAGUAUGGCAUUCCUUAAGCUGAGUUUGAUUCUGGCCACUCUUCUCAUCGCAGCUACUAGUUAGUAUUUCAUAUUAAUUCAUACAUCUCCAUUUAUAUUUAAUUAUGUAUGCCUAUAAGGAUAUAUAUAUAUUACUUUUAUGCAUAACCGAGAGGUUGUGAGUUCGAGUCUCCCCAAGAGUAAGGUGGGAAGUUCUUGGAGGGAAGAAUGCCGGGUGUCUAUUUGGAAACAACCUCUCUACCGAAGGGUAGGGUAAGGUCUGCGCAAACACUACCCUCCCCAGACUUCACUAAGUGGGAUUAUACUGGGUUGUUGUUAUUGUUGUUACUUUUAUGCAUAACGUUUAAUUGUUUAGUUCAUAUUUUAUGAAUCAUUAUUCUCAUUCUCUUAUUUCAGUGAAUGCGCCAUGGUCCUCAAAUACAAAUGUCGUUACUGCACGGGAUAUUGAAGGAAUCGAGAGGAGGAUACUGCCCCAACUUAAUACUUGUGGGAGAAUUUGUUUUACAAACGAUCAUUGCAGCGAUUGCAUAAUUUGUUGUACCUGUCGUGCCUCGCCUAUUUUCGAUGAAUCUCUAUGUUUCUAGUAGGUUGUGUGCAGUGCCAAUCAACUUAAUUACCUAUUAAAUCCCUAUUAUGCAUUAGUGUUUUCAUGUUAUGUCAGCAUUUUCUUUCUUAUUUCUUUGUCUUUGAUAGUAUGUACGAAUAAUAAAGAAGUCAAGUGAGUGGCUUUUUUUCUCAUGAAUAAUAAUGGAUUGGCGAGAAUGUAUCUGUUUCAUGCAUGUAUGGUUCAUCGUAAAUUUAUCAUAUUAAGUUACUAGUUUAUUGCAGAUGAAAUUUGUG
rnacentral:lncRNA from 1 species